GACAGAGGGUGCAAACGUUGUUCGGAAUUACUGGGCGUAAAGCGAGUGUAGGCGGUUCGCUAAAUCGGGUGUGAAAGCCCCGGGCUCAACCCGGGAAGUGCACUCGAAACUGGCGGGCUAGAGUAUCGGAGAGGUUGGUGGAAUUCUCGGUGUAGAGGUGAAAUUCGUAGAUAUCGAGAGGAACACCGGUGGCGAAGGCGGCCAACUGGACGAAUACUGACGCUGAGACUCGAAAGCGUGGGGAGCAAACAGG
rnacentral:rRNA from 1 species